rnacentral:lncRNA from 1 species
AAAAUGUUUUUUUUCAGAGACACUCAGACACAUAUUCCCCUCCAUCUUCUCAUUAUUCGAGGUUGCUAACUUCCAAAUUCUAAUUUACAUUUUUCACUUUUUGUUUCUUCUUUUUUAUAAUAUUUACUGCCUCUUCAUGUUGAUCAAAAACUUAACUUUUAGAAACUCUUUUCAUGCAUUUUGAUGAUAUGUAACAAAGAAGUUUACAUUUUCACAAAUAGAAUCUCUUAAUCGAAUGGAUUUAGUUUUUUUUGUUAAUGUUUCGAACGAAUAUUUUUGUAAUAUCUCGGUUUUAAGAAAUUUUG